rnacentral:misc_RNA from 1 species
AUAAUCAACAAUACCAAAAGUCCCUGAAUAAACAGGAAGAAACAGUGCCAUUUCAGUUAGGAAUAUGAGGUGCAAAGCUCAUUAAAUGUUUAGUACAGAAUAAUUCAAUUCAACAAAAAGCAGGACGUGAAAUAAAUUCCAGUAAAUUGCAAUAAAAAAUGCUAAAAUAUGAACACAUUUAUGAAUAGUUACUCUAGUAAAAAGGAAUACCAUCACCGUCUCGAGAAACUUCA